rnacentral:rRNA from 1 species
GCUAUACAUGCAGUCGAGCGGACCGACGGGAGCUUGCUCCCUUAGGUCAGCGGCGGACGGGUGAGUAACACGUGGGUAACCUGCCUGUAAGACUGGGAUAACUCCGGGAAACCGGGGCUAAUACCGGAUGCUUGAUUGAACCGCAUGGUUCAAUCAUAAAAGGUGGCUUUUAGCUACCACUUGCAGAUGGACCCGCGGCGCAUUAGCUAGUUGGUGAGGUAACGGCUCACCAAGGCGACGAUGCGUAGCCGACCUGAGAGGGUGAUCGGCCACACUGGGACUGAAACACGGCCCAGACUCCUACGGGAGGCAGCAGUAGGGAAUCUUCCGCAAUGGACGAAAGUCUGACGGAGCAACGCCGCGUGAGUGAUGAAGGUUUUCGGAUCGUAAAACUCUGUUGUUAGGGAAGAACAAGUACCGUUCGAAUAGGGCGGUACCUUGACGGUACCUAACCAGAAAGCCACGGCUAACUACGUGCCAGCAGCCGCGGUAAUACGUAGGUGGCAAGCGUUGUCCGGAAUUAUUGGGCGUAAAGCGCGCGCAGGCGGUUUCUUAAGUCUGAUGUGAAAGCCCCCGGCUCAACCGGGGAGGGUCAUUGGAAACUGGGGAACUUGAGUGCANAAAAAGAGAGUGGAAUUCCACGUGUAGNGGUGAAAUGGGUAAAGAUGUGGAGGAACACCAG